GUUUGUCAUGAGAUGAGACUGGGGAAUUAAGAGGAAACUACUCGUUCACAUGAGCAGGCCGGUGCAGAAGUUGCUGUUUUGUUGCUACAGAGAGUCACACGCAGAGCCCAAAGCAAAUACUUUUUACCAGCAUGAAGCUGGUGUCCUGGGUCUCUUCAUUGUGAGAUAAGCGGCUGACGCGGCCCGUGUUAUUGACGCUCACGUAGACCUGCAGACACGGGUAUUUGGAGACUCUCCAGCAGUCUGACCCACAGUUGUAGGAACAGUUCAUGUCUGCUGUGACCGUGGAGUUGAGAGGGCACUGAAGCAGUUUCUCAACGAGCACUUCUGAUGAAUAAAACAUGCUUCUGACAGAAAUAUCAGUUCAGUCCUUUAUGGGAUGUAAAAAAUAAAAGAUAAA